rnacentral:rRNA from 1 species
ACGCAGAGGGAUAAGAUGACCGGGGGACAGAUUCCCGGGCAAGCGCAGGAGGUGUCAGGCAGGCAAAUCCGUCUGACAAGCCAAAGGCGUGAUGCGGACCGAACUAAAGUAGGGAAGCAUCUGAUUCCAGCUGCCGAGAAAAGCCGCUAUUGUGUACCAUGUGCCCGUACCGUAAACCGACACAGGUGGAUGAGGAGAGAAUCCUAAGGCCGGCGGGAGAAGCAUUGUUAAGGAACUCGGCAAAAUGACCCCGUAACUUCGGGAUAAGGGGUGCCAGAGAGAUCUGGCCGCAGAGAAUAGGCUCAAGCAACUGUUUAGCAAAAACACAGGUCUAUGCGAAACCGUAAGGUGAUGUAUAUGGGCUGACGCCUGCCCGGUGCUGGAAGGUUAAGAGGAGAGGUUAGAGCAAUCGAAGCUUCGAAUUGAAGCCCCAGUAAACGGCGGCCGUAACAAUAACGGUCCUAAGGUAGCGAAAUUCCUUGUCGGGUAAGUUCCGACCCGCACGAAAGGCGCAAUGAUUUGGGCGCUGUCUCGACAAUGCACCCGGUGAAAUUGAAAUACCAGUGAAGAUGCUGGUUACCUGCGCCAGGACGGAAAGACCCCAUGGAGCUUUACUCCAGCUUGAUACUGGGAUUCGGUAAUGCAUGCACAGGAUAGGUGGGAGGCUACGAGUACGGAACUCCGGUUUCGUAUGAGCCGCUGUUGGGAUACCACCCUUGCGUUACUGGGUUUCUAACCAUGGUCCAUGAUCUGGAUCGGGGACAAUGUCAGGUGGGGAGUUUGACUGGGGCGGUCGCCUCCGAAAGGGUAUCGGAGGCGCUCAAAGGUUCCCUCAGAAUGGUUGGAAACCAUUCGAAGAGUGCAAAGGCAGAAGGGAGCUUGACUGCGAGACCGACGGGUCGAGCAGGUAGGAAACUAGGACUUAGUGAUCCGGUGGUAUGAAAGUGGGAUUGCCAUCGCUCAACGGAUAAAAGCUACCCUGGGAUAACAGGCUUAUCACUCCCAAGAGUUCACAUCGACGAGUGGUUUGGCACCUCGAUGUCGGCUCAUCGCAUCCUGGGGCUGAAGUAGGUCCCAAGGGUUGGGCUGUUCGCCCAUUAAAGCGGUACGCGAGCUGGGUUCAGAACGUCGUGAGACAGUUCGGUCCCUAUCCGGCGCAGGCGGAGGAUAUUUGAGAGGAGCUGUCCUUAGUACGAGAGGACCGGGAUGGACGGACCGCUGGUGUACCGGUUGAGCUGCUAAGCUCAUGGCCGGGUAGCCAAGUCUGGCAGGGAUAAACGCUGAAGGCAUCUAAGCGUGAAGCCCCCCUCAAGAUGAGAUAUCCCAUUCGAAAGAAGUAAGACCCCUUGAAGACGACGAGGUAGAUAGGGCAGAGGUGGAAGUGCAGUAAUGUACGGAGCUGACUGUUACUAAUCGGUCGAGGGCUUAUC